CCAGACAGCCAGGAUGUUGGCUUAGAAGCAGCCAUCAUUUAAAGAAAGCGUAAUAGCUCACUGGUCGAGUCGGCCUGCGCGGAAGAUGUAACGGGGCUAAACCAUGCACCGAAGCUGCGGCAGCGACGCUUAUGCGUUGUUGGGUAGGGGAGCGUUCUGUAAGCCUGUGAAGGUGGCCUGUGAGGGUUGCUGGAGGUAUCAGAAGUGCGAAUGCUGACAUAAGUAACGAUAAAGCGGGUGAAAAGCCCGCUCGCCGGAAGACCAAGGGUUCCUGUCCAACGUUAAUCGGGGCAGGGUGAGUCGACCCCUAAGGC
rnacentral:rRNA from 2 species